AGCAGCCGCGGUAAUUCCAGCUCCAAUAGCGUAUAUUAAAGUUGUUGCAGUUAAAAAGCUCGUAGUUGAAUUUCGGGGUUAGUAGGUUGGUCAUGCCUCUGGUAUGUACUGGUCUCACUGAUUCCUCCUUCCUGAUGAACCUUAAUGCCAUUAAUUUGGUGUUUUGGGGAAUUUGGACUGUUACUUUGAAAAAAUUAGAGUGUUUAAAGCAAGCUAACGCUUGAAUACAUUAGCAUGGAAUAAUGAAAUAGGACGUUCGAUCCUAUUUUGUUGGUUUCUAGGAUUGACGUAAUGAUUAAUAGGGAUAGUUGGGGGCAUUAGUAUUCAAUUGUCAGAGGUGAAAUUCUUGGAUUUAUUGAAGACUAACUACUGCGAAAGCAUUUGCCAAGGAUGUUUUCAUUAAUCAAGAACGAAAGUUAGGGGAUCGAAGACGAUCAGAUACCGUCGUAGUCUUAACCAUAAACUAUGCCGACUAGGGAUCGGAUGAUGUUAAUUUUU
rnacentral:misc_RNA from 1 species